GUAUGCUCGGGGCGUGUCCUCCCCAUGUCUCAUGCUGGAAGUCCUUACUCUGUGCUCAGCUGAGGAGAGACAAGUGUUUGCCGGGGACAGAGAUGAGCUGAAGGCCAUGAGCUCUGGUCCAGAUCCCCCCGAUGUGACCCCUCAGCGCCCUCCUGGGUGCGGGCUCCCUAGUCUGUGUGGUGCUGCAGGGUGUUCCUGUGACCUGUGAAGCACAUUCACUUUAUUAUUUCCAUGUGCCUGGCCUUUUCCUACCAAGGACCCUGGAUGGCCACACGACAGCUGAACGCCUGUGAUAACUGUUUACAAAGAGAGUGGAGUGGGGAGGACCAUCCUCAAGACAAGCUCUGGGUUGCCCAGGGACGCUCUGUCCGUCUGGACCUGCGUUUCCCUCCUUGCUCGCCCUCGGCCCCCGAAGCGCCGGCAGUGACAGCUGGAAGGCCGGAAAGUGUCGGCGAGCUGCCCUUUCCUCACCUCUGCCUGUCACGUCGGACCCUCUGCCGCCGUGGUAUUUGGAAGCGCUCCCUGCUCUAGGACGUGAGCCAGCGGCUGCCAGAUGACACCCGUCAGCCGGCCGGAGCGGCGCUUGACCUCACAGGCAUGUGCUGGGGAGAAUCCACAAGUGGGGGGCGGCACUCAGCGGCCAUCUGGCACAUUCCAGAGGCUCUGGUGACCUGGGGAUGACAGGCACCCCCUUGCCCCUUCUGAAGGCCGUCCCUCCCUCCAAGAGCAGGAGAAACAGGCCCAGCGGCCUGGAAUAUUCAUUCAUCAACCAGACCGGCCGGAUCUUGGAAAAGCCGAACACUUCUCCGUGUGCUUCUCCACCUGGGGGCAGGAAUGUGGGGCGGGCGGCCUGUCCCUGUCGGGGCCUGCCUGCGGCCUCUCUCCUCUGCACCUGGCUCAGGUGCCUCUGCCUGGGAACUUAACCCUUCGCGUCCUGACCACGGCCCCGAGGUGGGUCCCAGGGUGCGGGCACAGGGUGGAUGUGGGGGCGCAGGCGACAGCUGGGAUGUGGCUGGCAGGUGAGGCGGGGAGUGUGGCCGGCUGCCCGCGGGCCUUGUCAGGGCCAUCUAGGACUCACACUGCCUCCGUCCUGCGUUUCGUAGCUUUCUAGGCAACAAACAUACUUCUUAACAAUAUUUAUUAAUAUUAUAUUAAUAUAAUAAUAUACUAUAUUAAUAUUGUAUUAACAAAACAAUAAAAAUUCUGAAAAAGAAUUAAAAAUAAUUACA
rnacentral:lncRNA from 12 species